GUUGACCUCGGAUCGGUAGACCCGGUUG
rnacentral:rRNA from 1 species